rnacentral:rRNA from 1 species
GACGAACGCUGGCGGCGUGCUUAACACAUGCAAGUCGAACGGAAAGGCCCUGCUUUUGUGGGGUGCCCGAGUGGCGAACGGGUGAGUAACACGUGAGUAACCUGCCCUUGACUUUGGGAUAACUUCAGGAAACUGGGGCUAAUACCGGAUAGGAGCUCCUGCUGCAUGGUGGGGGUUGGAAAGUUUCGGCGGUUGGGGAUGGACUCGCGGCUUAUCGGCUUGUUGGUGGGGUAGUGGCUUACCAAGGCUUUGACGGGUAGCCGGCCUGAGAGGGUGACCGGCGACAUUGGGACUGAGAUACGGCCCAGACUCCUACGGGAGGCAGCAGUGGGGAAUAUUGCCCAAUGGGCGGAAGCCUGAUGCAGCAACGCCGCGUGCGGGAUGACGGCCUUCGGGUUGUAAACCGCUUUCGCCUGUGACGAAGCGUGAGUGACGGUAAUGGGUAAAGAAGCACCGGCUAACUACGUG